GCGGAUGUCGAUUAAUGGUAGGUCCUCUGCCUUCCAAGCAGAUAGUACGGGUUCGAGUCCCGUCGUCCGCA
rnacentral:tRNA from 1 species